UUGUCUUUGGAUGCUGUGCAG
rnacentral:misc_RNA from 1 species